rnacentral:rRNA from 1 species
GAUGAACGCUGGCGGCGUGCCUAAUACAUGCAAGUCGAGCGAACGGACGAGAAGCAUGCUGCUCUGAUGUUAGCGGUGAUCGGGUGAGUAACACGUUGCUAACCUACCUAUAAGACUGGGAUAACCUCGGGAAACCGGAGCUAAUACCGGAGGAUAUUGUGAACCGCAUGGUUCAACAUUGAAUGACGGUUUUGCUUUCACUUAUAGAUGUAUCCGCGCUGCAUUAGCUAGUUGGUAAGGUAACGGCUUACCAAGGCAACGAUCAAUAGCCGACCUGAGAGAGGGCUGGGCGAAACUGGAGCUGAGACACGGGCCGGACGCCAGGGAGAGCAGGCAUGGGGGAAUCUUCCGCGACGGGCGGGAGCCGGACGGGGCAACCCCGCGUGAGUGAUGAAAGCCUCCGGAUCUUAAACCGCUGUUGUUACGAGCGAGCGCUGGUCGAGGUAACUGUGGGCUGCGUCUCGGUCCUUAACAAGAAGGCCACGGCUACCUAGGUG